rnacentral:rRNA from 1 species
UCAGGAUGAACGCUGGCGGCGUGCCUAACACAUGCAAGUCGAGCGGAGAUAAGAAGAGACUCUUCGGAUGAUCUUUUAUCUUAGCGGCGGAUGGGUGAGUAACACGUGGGUAACCUGCCCUGCACAGGGGGAUAACAGCUGGAAACGGCUGUUAAUACCGCAUAUGCACACGGUGCCGCAUGGCACUGGGUGGAAAGAUUUAUCGGUGCAGGAUGGGCCCGCGUCGGAUUAACUGGUUGGCAGGGUAACGGCCUACCAAGGUGAUGAUCCGUAGCCGACCUGAGAGGGUGACCGGCCACAUUGGGACUGAGACACGGCCCAAACUCCUACGGGAGGCAGCAGUGGGGGAUAUUGCACAAUGGGCGGAAGCCCUGAUGCAGCGACGCCGCGUGAAGGAAGAAGUAUUUCGGUAUGUAAACUUCUAUCAGCGGGGAAGAAGAUGACGGUACCCGACCAAGAAGCCCCGGCUAACUACGUGCCAGCCGCGGC